rnacentral:lncRNA from 1 species
GUUGUUCCUGUGGAUGAAUGUUGGAUGAUCCUUAGCCCUUGACAGAGAGCAGAUACAGAAUUAUGGCAUGAGAUAGCCAUACCAGGUCGCCCCUGGAUAGUCCAGGUCGCUCCUGGUACUAUGAGUGAGACAGCUGGGCUGUCAAAUCAGAGUUAAGUGUAGACCAGGUGAGACCUCGUCUCCUUGGCACAGUUGGUCAUGUUAUGAUAUCAGAGAGAUAAGUGUAGACCAGGUGAUGACAUAGUCUCCUUGGCA